ACCUGCAUUCGAAAGUGAUUUUUGGCCUUGUCUGUGGCCUGGUCAUUGAUAGUGCAGGAAGAGGAACAUUUGAAAGCUUUUCCCGUGUUUGGAGGGCUCACUGUCAUCCCUGCUAAACCCUGUGGCUUUCAGACA
ensembl:snoRNA SNORA71 Small nucleolar RNA SNORA71